CUGAGGCCGAGAAGCAAGAAGUAAUUUGAUGUCAGGAAGUUGAUGACAGAACACAGCUGAGACUCCUGGGGACAAACUGAACCACAAUCAUAAAUGAAUAUGUAGAAAAGCACAGGUCACAGGAGAGACAACAGGGGACUGCACUAGUGACCCCACUAUACCGUUCUGCUAAUUAGCUGUGUUGACAUCAGACUAUUACUCUGCAGUUCCUGGAAUCUCCUUUGGAAGAUCUCCUGCCUUCACAUAAACCAUCUUCCAGUCCUCUGGAGUUUUUUCACUUAUAUCUAGAUUAUUCAAUAUCUGUUUUGUAAUAAUCACACCAUUCUUCCUAUGUAUGUAAAUUCAUGCAAUAUUUUUGUUACGAAAUGAAUCUUAAGUUAUACUGGAUAGGAUCAGCUUUAAGACUGUUUAUUGUUUACUUUUACAGUAAUUACAUUACUUCAGUGAGGAAAAAAAUACAUAAUUCAUCUUUUUUAAUGAAAA